UACGGAGGGUGCGAGCGUUGUCCGGAAUCACUGGGCGUAAAGGGCGCGUAGGCGGCGCGAGUAGUCAACGGUGAAAGCCCGGGGCUCAACCCCGGGUCGGCCGUCGAUACUCUCGUGCUUGAGCACUGUAGAGGCAGGUGGAAUUCCGGGUGUAGCGGUGGAAUGCGUAGAGAUCCGGAAGAACACCGGUAGCGAAGGCGGCCUGCUGGGCAGUAGCUGACGCUGAGGCGCGAAAGCUAGGGUAGCAAACGGG
rnacentral:rRNA from 1 species